UGUUCUAAAGUCCACUCUUGGCUCUUCUCUACAAAAUCCUCUGCUUUGUGACCCAACCUUCAGGGCCUCUGCCAAUCCCGUGGAUCCCUUCAGAUGUUCACCAUCUCCCUAGGAGCUGAGAGAAGCCACCUGGUGGCAGGGGAAGUCAUUCUUGUCCCCCCACCUUAACAAGCCUCAGGAUACUUCAGAUCUGCUCAAAGGGCACCGCUGAAGUUAUUCCUGAAGAGCAAGGGCUGUGACAACCUUCUCUCUCACCUGCAAAUUGGGCCAGAAUCUUUCCUCCUUUGGAAUAAAUCUCACCUAGAAGAUUAUGGUGUAUCUGAAGAUUAAGAUUGGUGUAUGGUGUGUCUGAAGAUUAAGAAGAUUAAGGUAUAUACACCUUAUGGUGUAUCACCUAGAAGAUUAUGGUGUAUGACAGAGACAGAGCGUGAGUGGGAGAGGAGCAGAGAGAGAGAGGGAGACACAGAAUCUGAAACAGUCUCCAGGCUCUGAGCUGUCAGCACAGAGCCUGACGUGGGGCUCGAACUCAGACUGCAAGAUCAUGACCUGAGCCGAAGUCGGAUGCUCAACCGACAGAGCCACCCAGGUGCCCCUGUUUUCCUUUUUUUUAAGCACUAAAUCUCUUUCAGUUUCUACCCUUUUGGUCACUCUCUGACGUCUUCAAACAACUGUUUUUUAUAUUUUGUUAUAAACACAUAUACAGUAGUCCUCCCUUAUCAGUUGGGGAUGUCUGAGAACACAGUGCUGAACCUAUAUAUAUACUACGUUUUUCUCUAUACAUACAUACCUAUAAUAAAGUUUAGUUUAUAAAUUAAGCACAGUAAGAGAUUAAUAGCAAUCACUAAUAGUAAAAUAGAACAAUUAUAACAAUCUACUGUAAUAAAAGAUGUGAACAUGGUCUCUUUAUUUCUUUCUCGCUCUCUCCCAUCCCCGCUCACAACACAAAAUGUGUUGUGAUGAUGUGAGAUGAUGAAAUGCCUCCAGGAUGUGAUGAAGUGACGUGAAUGGCAUAAGCACUGCAAUGUAGCGUUAGGCUACCUUCUGAGCAUACAUCAAAAAAGGAUCAUCUAUUUUCGGACUGUGGUUGACCACAGUAAUCUCUACACCCCACAUGGGGCUCAAACUCAUGACCUCAAGAUCAAGAGUCGCAUGUUCCACCAACUGAGCCAGACCGGUGCCCCAGCAAUACAAUUUAAAAUGGACCCCCCAAAUGGGCAAAAAGCUCUGAACAGAUACCUCACCAAAGAAGAUAUACAGAUGGCAAAUAAGCAUAGGAAAGAUGCUCCAUAUUAUAUGUCAUUAGGGAAUUGCAAAUUAAAACAAGAUACUACUUCACAUCUAUUAAAAUGGCUAAAAUCCCAAAUACCAAUAGCUGGUAAGUGUACGGAACAACUGGAGCUCUCAUUCAUUGCUGAUGGAAAGACAAAAUGGCAUAACCAAUUUGGAAGACAGUUUGGUAAUUUCUUGCAAAGCUAAACAUAGUCUUAUCAUAUGACCUGGCGAUUGCAUACUUUGGUAUUUAUCCAAAUGAGUUGAAAUCUUACGUCUGCACAAAAACCUGCACAUGUAUGUUUUAGCAGUUGUAUUCAUAAUUGCCCAAACUUAGAAGUAACCAAGACAUUCUUCUAGAGUGUCUUCUAGACACUCAUUCUAAAUAACUGUGGCACAUCUAGAUCAUGGAAUAGUAUUCUGCAAUAAAAAAAUGAACUAUUGAGCUCACCCCUGCAAAAACAUGAAAUAACCUUAAUGCAUAUUGCUAAGUGAAGGAGGCCAGUUUGAGAAGGCUACAUAUUGUGUGUUUCCAGCUAUGACAUUCUAGAAAAUGCAAAACUAUAGAGACAGUGAAAAGAUCGGGGGUUGCCAGGGGCUUGGAGAGAGGGAGGGAUGAAUAGAUGAAUCAUAGGGGAUUUUUAGGGCAGUGAAACUACUUUGUAUGAUACUAUAAUGAGGGAUAUACAACAUUACACAUUUGCCAAAACCCAUAGAACCACACAACACAGAGUGAACUCUAAUGUAAACUAUGAGCUUUGGUUAGUAAUGAUGUAUCAAUUUGGCUCAUUAGUUGUAAUAAAUGUACUACAAGAUGUUACUGCAAGAUGUUGAUAGUAGGGGAAGCUGUGUGUGGAGGAACAGAAAGAAUAUAUGGACCCUCUUUGUACUUUCUGUGCAGUUUUUCUGUAAACGUAAGCUUUAAGAAAUAAAGUUAAUUAAAUGAAAUGAAAGCAAAACAGAACAAAUACUGCCUUCCUUCAAUUCCAUGUCCCCCUCCAGCUAUGGUCAUUUCCCUCCUCCCAUCAUGGCCACUCUUCUUAAAAGAGUUUGUCUAUGGGGCGCCUGGGUGGCUCAGUCGGUUGGGCGGCCGACUUCGGCUCAGGUCAUGAUCUCGUGGUCCGUGAGUUCAAGGCCCGCGUCGGGCUCUGUGCUGACAGCUCAGAGCCUGGAGCCUGUUUCGGAUUCUGUGUCUCCCUCUCUCUGACCCUCUCCCCAGUUCAUGCUCUGUCUCUCCCUGUCUCAAAAAUAAAUAAACGUUAAAAAAAAAAAAAGAGUUUGUCUGAGAACUACAGAAGAUAAUAAUUAAAUGAACUGAAUGCUUAUUAUGUGUUAAACAUUUUACGUAGAUGGUUGCAUUCACUUCUCACAGCAGUCCUCUGUUAUAGAUUUGGACCCUGAGGUGUAAAACGUUUGAGUAACUUGACCAACUUCACAUCGUUAGUAAAGGGUGGAAUCAGUGCUUGAGGACAGGCUGCUGGGCCUCAGAGAUUAGAGGUACUGCUCUUUUUUUUUUUAACGUUUUAUUUAUUUUUGAGAGAGAGAGAGUGCUUUUGUACGCAUGAGUGGGGGAGGGGCAGAGAGAGAGAGGGGGGGGAUAGAAGAUCCAAAGUGGGCUCUGCACUGAACAGUAGUGAGACUGAUGCAGGGCUCGAACUCCUGAAUCACGAGAACCUGAGCCGAAGUUGGAUGCUCAACUGACUGAGCCACCCAGAUGCUCCUAAAUUAAUGCAUCUAUGUGCCCCUCUCCAAUCAUAAUCAAACUUUCUUUUUCCUAGAGCAAUGGCUGCGUGGUCUUUGGUGAUGAUCAUAUUAGUUUCACCACUUAUGUAUGCAUCCCUGAACAAUGUAGUUUAGUUUUUUAAACUUUACGAAUGAAAUCACACUGUAUGUUUUCUUUUCUGUCUUGCUUCUUACUGUCAACAAAAUAUUUAUGACAUUCAUAUUUAUUGUCAUGUUUCACAAAGUGCAUCCAUUUUCAGUACAACAUUGCACUGUGUGACUAAACCAUUAUUUAUGACGAUUAACAUUGGGUUUAUUUCCAGUUUUUGGAACUGGAAUUAUAAGCACUGAUUCUGUUGACCCUAUCAUGCAGGAAUCCUUGAAAUAAUAUGCAUACAUCUGUCUUUGUAUAUACCUAAGAGUGGACUUGCUGGGCCAUGCCAAACUCACUUCCAAAACGAUUGAACCAAUUUCCACUUCUUGGGCAUUAUAUGGGAGUUCUGGUUGCUCCACACACUUAUCAAUAUUUAACACUAUGUACUUUCAGAGUUCUGAAUUUUUGCCAAUCUGGAGGGUGUGGUUUUAUUUGUACUUCUCUGGUGUCUAAUGAAGCUGAGCAUCUUUUUAUGGGUUUAUUAGCCAUUUGGAUUUCCUUUUUGGUGAAGUGAGGGUUUAAGCUUUUGCCAUCUCUAUGUCUGAAUUCUUACUGUCUCUUCUAGUAAUUCAUUAUGAUUGCCAUCUCCCUGGUGUUUUUUCCAUGAUUUAUGAAAAGUAUCCAUUAUUUUUAGUUGCUUUCAGCCAGAGGUUUAGACUGAAAGAGCUAGUCCGUUAUUACUGGAAACUGGAAGUUUUCUAUUGGUUUCCUUUAAAAAAUUAUUAUUAUUAUUUAAAAAAAAUUUAAUGUUUAUUUUUGAGAGAGAGAGAGAGAGAGAGAGAGAGAGACAGAGCAUGAGCAGGGAAGGGACAGAGAGAGAGGGAGACACAGAAUCUGAAGUAGGUUCCAGGCUCUGAGCUGUUGGCACAGAGCCCGAUGUGGGCUCCAAAAAUUAUUAUUUUUUAAAAUGUAUAUUUAUUUUUGAGAGACAGAGGGAGGGAUGGGCAGAGAGAAAGGGAGAGAAAGAAUCCCAAGCAGGCUCCGUGCUGGUAGGAACCGUGAGAUCAUGACCUGAGCCCAAAUCAAAAGUCAGAUGCUUAACCAACUGAGCCACCCAGGUGUCCCUAAAAGUUUAUUUUUAAUGAAAUAUUUCUGGCAUAUAAAAAAGUAUAGGUAAUAAUAUAAAUAGUCACACAUGUAACCAUGGGUCUGCUUAAAAAGUAAAACGUUGGAUGUAAAAUUAAGGCCCUUUGUAUAUCCCUUUCCCCCUUUUCCCUAGAAGAAGUUAAUAACCUGAAUUUGAUUUCAUCAUUUCCUUGCAUAUUUUAAUAAUUUUUCUAGAAAUAUGUUCGUAAUCUUCUUUGGUAUUUUGCUUGUUUCUUAAUUUCAUGUAAAUGGUAUUUAACUGUAUGUAUCUUUUUAGCAGCUGAUUUUAUUUUGACACCUCUUUACACACACACACACACACACACACACACACACACACAUCAUGUGCCAUGUAUCAACAUGGGUAAAUUUCCAAUAUAUAUGUAUAUGUGUAUAUAUAUAUAUAUAUAUACGUAAUAGUAAGAACGAAAGAACUAAA